rnacentral:rRNA from 1 species
GACGAACGCUGGCGGCGUGCUUAACACAUGCAAGUCGAGCGGUAAGGCCCUUUCGGGGGUACACGAGCGGCGAACGGGUGAGUAACACGUGGGUGACCUGCCCUCAGCUCUGGGAUAAGCCUGGGAAACCGGGUCUAAUACCGGAUAUGACUCCAUGACGCAUGUUGUGGGGUGGAAAGCCUUGUGCGGCUGAGGAUGGGCCCGCGGCCUAUCAGCUUGUUGGUGGGGUGAGGCCUACCAAGGCGACGACGGGUAGCCGGCCUGAGAGGGCGACCGGCCACACUGGGACUGAGACACGGCCCAGACUCC